rnacentral:rRNA from 1 species
GACGAACGCUGGCGGCGUGCUUAACACAUGCAAGUCGAACGGAAAGGCCCUGCUUUUGUGGGGUGCUCGAGUGGCGAACGGGUGAGUAACACGUGAGUAACCUGCCCUUGACUUUGGGAUAACUUCAGGAAACUGGGGCUAAUACCGGAUAGGAGCUCCUGCUGCAUGGUGGGGGUUGGAAAGUUUCGGCGGUUGGGGAUGGACUCGCGGCUUAUCAACUUGUUGGUGGGGUAGUGGCUUACCAAGGCUUUGACGGGUAGCCGGCCUGAGAGGGUGACCGGCCACAUUGGGACUGAGAUACGGCCCAGACUCCUACGGGAGGCAGCAGUGGGGAAUAUUGCACAAUGGGCGGAAGCCUGAUGCAGCAACGCCGCGUGCGGGAUGACGGCCUUCGGGUUGUAAACCGCUUUCGCCUGUGACGAAGCGUGAGUGACGGUAAUGGGUAAAGAAGCACCGGCUAACUACGUGCCAGCAGCCGCGGUGGUACGUAGGGUGCGAGCGUUGUCCGGAUUUAUUGGGCGUAAAGGGCUCGUAGGUGGUUGAUCGCGUCGGAAGUGUAAUCUUGGGGCUUAACCCUGAGCGUGCUUUCGAUACGGGUUGACUUGAGGAAGGUAGGGGAGAAUGGAAUUCCUGGUGGAGCGGUGGAAUGCGCAGAUAUCAGGAGGAACACCAGUGGCGAAGGCGGUUCUCUGGGCCUUUCCUGACGCUGAGGAGCGAAAGCGUGGGGAGCGAACAGGCUUAGAUACCCUGGUAGUCCACGCUGUAAACGGUGGGUACUAGGUGUGGGGUCCAUUCCACGGGUUCCGUGCCGUAGCUAACGCUUUAAGUACCCCGCCUGGGGAGUACGGCCGCAAGGCUAAAACUCAAAGGAAUUGACGGGGCCCCGCACAAGCGGCGGAGCAUGCGGAUUAAUUCGAUGCAACGCGUAGAACCUUACCUGGGUUUGACAUGGAUCGGGAGUGCUCAGAGAUGGGUGUGCCUCUUUUGGGGUCGGUUCACAGGUGGUGCAUGGCUGUCGUCAGCUCGUGUCGUGAGAUGUUGGGUUAAGUCCCGCAACGAGCGCAACCCUUGUUCACUGUUGCCAGCACGUUAUGGUGGGGACUCAGUGGAGACCGCCGGGGUCAACUCGGAGGAAGGUGGGGAUGACGUCAAGUCAUCAUGCCCCUUAUGUCCAGGGCUUCACGCAUGCUACAAUGGCUGGUACAGAGAGUGGCGAGCCUGUGAGGGUGAGCGAAUCUCGGAAAGCCGGUCUCAGUUCGGAUUGGGGUCUGCAACUCGACCUCAUGAAGUCGGAGUCGCUAGUAAUCGCAGAUCAGCAACGCUGCGGUGAAUACGUUCCCGGG